rnacentral:lncRNA from 1 species
CUCAAUGUGCUGCCCCAGAGUUUUGGGGUGCUGUGGCUCCUUCUGUGUUAAAGCUGCUUCUCACUCUUCUCUUCCAAGGAGGAAGCAAUUGAGACGAGAGAUUUUAUCCUACGUGAUUACCUUCCUCAUUAUAAGAAUGUCUUUAUGGAAGUAUCGGAGAACACCAUUGAGACUGGGGACUUAGUGCUUUUCAAAAUGCUGUCCAGCAGCAAUGCUAUGCUCUGCUUCAAGCAUGCAGUUGUCUAUUGUGGGGACGGAGAGGUCAUCCACUUCCAGAAGAUCAAAGGUUCAAGUACAGGGCGAAUAAUCAAAGAAGGAUUCCGGCUUAUGAGACAGCAGAGGGGAAAAGGCAAGGUUCUCAGGAAAAAGGAGGGGGUCAACCUCGAAACCUUCACUGAGAAAGUCAAGCAGCUGAUGAACAGCACAGCCGAGUACAGCGCACUGAACAACAACUGCAUCAACUUUGCUCUCUAUCUGCUGGAUCUGGGGAACUUCAGCUUUCAGCCCGUGAGUAUGGAGCCAGGAUGGGGCGUUUGCAGUGGGGCCAGACAAGUCCCAGGACAAAAGAUAUUCUUUUCCCGCAGCCGAAGAGCCAUGAAGAGGAACUUGAAAGUUUGACUGCACAGCGCAACAUGAUCGUCUGAGAGGUUUCCAGAGUCUCAUUCCCCAGCACACGCCCAGAAGAGCUUCGUCCCCACCAUUCGUUUUUCCACAUGUCUGCUUCCUUCAAAAGAUCUGUAGGCAUUCCUUUCCAUCUUUUUGUGCUGGAUCAUAUCGCAGCAGGAGCUCUGCAUCCCCUGCACAUGGGUGGAAAUAUUAAUCAGCUGCUUUAUUGAUUAUUUGCACCUGAAGACUGCCUGUUUUCACUGCCUUACUUCAAAUGGUCAUAACACUCAGAGUAAUUUCAGAUAGAAUUACUUGUUAAUAAUAGUGCUUAUCUGUGUAUAACAAUUCUUAUCAGCAACUUCUUGUACUACUAAUAUCCACAGCCAAAUAACAAUAUCCAAGGUAAUGGUAUCUUAAGUAAUUAUAAUAAAAAAAAUUAAUCCUUCUUAUACUAUUAAAUC